rnacentral:rRNA from 1 species
GACAGAGGGUGCUAGCGUUGUUCGGAAUCACUGGGCGUAAAGGGCGCGUAGGCGGCCUGAUAAGUAGGGGGUGAAAUCCUGCGGCUUAACCGCAGGGCUGCCUUCUAAACUGUCAGGCUCGAGCACAGUAGAGGCAGGUGGAAUUCCCGGUGUAGCGGUGGAAUGCGUAGAGAUCGGGAAGAACAUCAGUGGCGAAGGCGGCCUGCUGGGCUGUUGCUGACGCUGAGGCGCGACAGCGUGGGGAGCAAACAGG